UGGGUUGCAGCUCAGUGGUAAAGUGCUUGCCUUGCACACAUGAAGCCCUGGGUUCUAUUCUCAGCACCACAU
rfam:Ictidomys tridecemlineatus contig013073, whole genome shotgun sequence.